rnacentral:rRNA from 1 species
UACGAAGGGGGCUAGCGUUGUUCGGAAUUACUGGGCGUAAAGGGCGCGUAGGCGGCCUUCUAAGUCGAACGUGAAAUCCCCGGGCUCAACCCGGGAACUGCGUCCGAUACUGGAAGGCUUGAAUCCGGGAGAGGGAUGCGGAAUUCCAGGUGUAGCGGUGAAAUGCGUAGAUAUCUGGAGGAACACCGGUGGCGAAGGCGGCAUCCUGGACCGGCAUUGACGCUGAGGCACGAAAGCCAGGGGGAGCAAACGGG